AUGUCGACCAGAAGGAGAAACUUGGUUGAUAAAUGCAUAAUCCCUGGUAUACACAAAGUUAUUUCUCCCAUUCGGUUGUUGAGAGGAAGGACCAUCCAACAGAGAAGGAAAGUGAAUGGAAGCACCUUCUACCCUUAUAACAACAUCAAUCAUGGAGUCAACUUUCUCCCGUUAUGGUUCCUUUACCCGAUCUUUAUUGAAGGCAACUACACUGGUCCUGACAUGUUUCUUUUUGGGACGACCUUCCAAAGGAGUCAGAACAAAUGGUGGAAGCCCAAGUUAUAA